GUUGUAACACCCUCGAUGCGACUAUAUCUCCCACGUGUCGAGGCACGACUUAGAGGCAUAAUCGCAUUGAAGGCAAUGUCGCAAGUGAGGUAAUCUUCACACAACCCAUGUAAUAUAAUAGGGGAAAAAGUUACAUAGUUGGCUUACACUCGCCACUUCACACAAUUACAUGAAUAAAACAUUACAUCAACCAAGUACAAUCAGGGCCCGACUACGGAGCCAAAAUAAAAGAAGAACCCCAAAUGCGACAAAGAUCCCCGAUCGACCCCAACUGGGCUCCACUACUGAUCAACUAGAACGAAACAACACAAAUGAACAAGGUCUUCAUCGAGCUCCUCCCGAGCUUGGUUGCGUCAUCUGGACGGUCUCAUCGGCACCUGCAAACUGGUUUUGGAAGUAUCUGUGAGCCACAGGGACUCAGCAAUCUCGCACCCUCGCGAUCAAGACUAUUUAAGCUUAUGGGUAAGGUGAAGGUAUGAGGUGGAGCUGCAGCAAGCGACUAACAUAUAUGGUGGCUAACCUAUUCGCAAAAGAGAGCGAGAAGAGAAGGCAAAGCACGGUCGAUAAAAGUAUGAUCAAGAAGUGAUCCUGGACUACCUACGCCAAGCAUAACUCCAACAACCGUGUUCACUUCCCGGACUCCGCCGGAAAGAGACCAUCACGGUUACACACGCUGUUGAUUCAUUUUAAUUAAGGUCAACUUUAGGUUUUCUACAACCGGACGUUAACAAAUUCCCAUCUGCCCAUAACCACGGGCACGGCUUUCGAAAGAUCAAAUCCAUGCAGGGUGUCCCAACUUAGCCCAUGACAAGCUCUCACGGUCAACGAAGGAAUAGACCUCCACCCGAGAUAUUCCGAUCAAACUCGGUAUCCCAGUACAACAAGACAUUUCGACAGGGUAAAACUAAACCAGCAACACCGCCCGAUGCGCCGACAUCCUGAUAGGAGCUGCACAUAUCUCGUUCUCAGGGCAACACCGGAUGAACACUACGUACAGCUAAAACCAGCCCUCAAGUUUCCCCGAGGUGGCGCCGCAAGUGGCUCUAGUUUGGACCAACGCUUAGACAAGCACUGGCCCGGGGGGUUAAAAUAAAGAUGACCCUCGGGAUGCGCGACUCCCAAGGGAAAAAGGCUAGGUGGCAAAUGGUAAAACCAAUGUUGGGCAUUGCUGGCAAAGCUUUACUUAAGGCGAAGUGUCAAGGGGUUCCCAUUAUAGCCCAACCGCGUAAGGGACGCAAAAUCCGGGAACAUAACACCGAUAAGACGGAAACUAGGGCGGCAAGAGUGGAACAAAACACCAGGCAUAAGGCCGAGCCUUCCACCCUUUACCAAGUAUAUAGAUGCAUUAAUUAAAUACGAUAUAUAGUGAUAUCCCAACAAGUAAAACAUGUUCCAACAAGGAACAACAUCUCCAUGUUCCAACAAGGAACAAUCUUCAAACUUCACCUGCAACUAACAACGCUAUAAGAGGGGCGGAGCAAAGCGGUAACAUAGCCAAUCAACGGUUUGCUAGGACAUGGUGGGUUAGGGGCUGAACAUGGCAAUUUGGGAGGCUGACAAGCAAGUGGUAGGCAUCGUAGCAAUGGCAUAGCAAAAGAGCGAGCAAACUAGCAUAGCAAAGAUAGUAGUGAUUUCGAGGGUAUGAUCAUCUUGCCUGAAAUCUCGCAAGGAAGAAGAACGAGUCCAUGAAGAAGACAAACGGACGAAGAUGAACGGGUCCUCACAAACUCGACGUUAUCGGAAUCAACCCGAAGAAGCAAUCACCGGAAAAGAAGCACACAACAUAGUAAACAACCAACACAUCAACAUGGCAUGAUGCACAAACGAGUAUGAUGCAUGUCCGGUUUAAAGAGGCAUGGCAUGGCAAAAUGCACAAGCAAUCCUACAAAUUAAGUGGAGCUCAAUAUGCAACGAGUUGCAUAUUGACGAAACACCACAUCAAUUAUUUAGUUCUCUCUCGUUUAUGUACCCAACAAUAUUAAAUGUUGAUUAACAUGGCAAGAGGUGAAACAUGAUGAAACUAUCUAAUCUAGGCAUGUUUAAAUGAGCCGGAACAACAAAACAACAAGUCCGGAAAAUCCCCAUGUGCAAAUAUUAGGUUUGGUCCUGAUCUGUCCUAAACACAAUUUUAGAGUUGUUUAACAUGCAAAGUAAGGUCACCAUGAUAAACUAGGCAAAAUUCUACCCCAUUUACAUAUAAAGUUUAUUAAAUUCCGAGUUACGGUUAUUAAGUUAUGAAUAAAAUCAUUUUAGCAUGACAUAGAGCAAAAUUAAUGCAAACAACAUUUUAGACAUUUUAACAUGGCAAGAAAGUGGCAUAUUAUUAAUCUACACAAAAUUCUGAGCAAGUUUCAUUUAUAAAGCAUUUUAAUCCGAUGCACGGUUAAUUAGUUAUUAAAUGCAUGAAGACUAGGGGCUUUUCUGUAAAUCUGCAAAUCCCUGUAAAUAGAUAAAUCGCUGAACAGGAAAAAAAAACGAGUCAUGGGAUGAUUCUGAAACAGGGCAGGCGGUGGGGGCUCUCUCACCACGGGCUUCGGCCCGGUAGCAGGAGGAGGAGGCAGGCCGGCGAUGCUGGGUCUCGGAUCUGGUUGGCGGCCCAGCAGAGAGGAGGGACUGGCGCUGGGCCUGGUGGAGCUGGGCCGGAUCGGGCGAAGGGGAGGCGGCCCGCGCGAGAGGGAUCUCGUCCCCGACCUCCCGCCGAGGCCGAGGCGAGCCAUGGUGGCGGCGGCAGGGUCCGGUGGUGGCCUGAGGCGGCGGGGCGAGGCGACACCGGCAGGAAUGGACAGAUCGGGAACUAGGGAAGCUGGAUCCGGUGUCGAGGGUGGUCGACGGCGCUCGGGGAUGCGGGAUCCGGCAGGGCGGAGCUCUCAUGGCGGCGCAAGUCGACGGGGCUUGGCAGGGAGCAAGGUGGUGCGGCCGGGAGGCCAGCGCGGAAGGAGGCGGUGCCUCUCCAGCGAAGUCCGGUAGGGGAGGCGGCGAUGCGGGCUCUGGAUCGGGGCUCCUCCCGAUCUGGAGCUCGGGGAGCAGGGGUGGCGCGAUGCGGCCUCAGGGCCCAGAUCGGGGCCCGGGCGGCCUGGAGCGGGCCUGGCGGCGCGGGGCGAUGGGAGGAGGCGGUGGGGCGACGUGGCAGCGCCCGGUUGGGCAGGGCGACGCCUCAGGUGGCGGCUGGCCUCUUGGCAGCGCCCCAAGUGGCGACGGGGAGGUGGCUGCGCGCGGAAAUCAAGGAGAAGGAGGUGGGAGGCGGCUGGGAAAUGAUUGGGGCACUGAGAUUUAGGAGGAGGGGUAGGUAGCUGCCCAAAAUGGAAGGGGGAAGGUUUAUAUAGGGCAGGUUUUAGGGUUAGGGGGGUUUCGCUCCGUUUCUGGAUCCUCCGAUCGCAAACGAACGGCCCCGGUCAAAGGGGAAAACUAGAUGGGGUUUGUGGGCUGUGUAGGAGGGUUAGGCUGGGAGGAGAGGGGAGAGAUGCAGCCCGGCACAGUUUCCGGAGACCGAAAACCUGCGACGAAAAGACCGGCUACUAUUGCCGCUAUAUUUAAUCAUUGGGGCAUCAAACGAACUCCGAUUGCGAUGAAACUUGACAGGAGGUCUAUCUACACUAUAAUAAGACCACACGUCAAAUCUCAUCCCAUUCCGAGAACAUUUUCUGGCCACUUAUAAAAUACUAUCUCGGACAUGCCGCGGGCGCGUGCAAGUGUGUCUCGUCUCAGAAUGGACAACGGAGAGAACGAGGAGGCCGGGACGGAUGCAAGUUUUGAAAACAUGAUGACGCAAUGCACAUGAUGACAUGAUGAAAUGCAACACGCAAGCAAAUGACAUGGCAACGACGGCGAAUAACUGCACGACACCUGGCACAUCGGUCUCGGGGCGUUACACUAGUGAUCUUGUCAACCAUCAACACUUGAUGUUUUUCUUGAUUUCUACCUUCGUUUAUUUCAGCAUCACGAAGAGCUUGGGAGUUGUUUCCGCUAUCCCUUGCUUAUUAUAGUUCAUCACGAAGUUCUACUAACUUGGUGAUGGUGACUAGAGAAUUCUGUCAAUCACUAUCUUAUCUGGAAGAUUGACUCCCACUUGAUUCAAGCGAUUGUAGUACCCAGACAAUCUGAGCACAUGCUCACUAGUUGAGCGAUUCUCCUCCAUCUUUUAGCUAUAGAACUUGUUGGAGAUUUCAUAUCUCUCAACUCGGGUAUUUUCUUGAAAUAUUAACUUCAACUCCUGGAACAUCUCAUAUGGUCCAUGACGUUCAAAACGUCUUUAAAGUCCCGAUUCUAAGCCACUAAGCAUGAUGCACUAAACUAUCAAGUAGUCAUUUUUGGGGAACGUAGUAAUUUCAAAAAAUUUCCUACGCACACGCAAGAUCAUGGUGAUGCAUAGCAACGAGAGGGGAGAGUGUUGUCUACGUACCAACGCAGACCGACUGCGGAAGCGAUCACACAACGUAGAGGAAGUAGUCGUACGUCUUCUUUCCGAUCCGACCGAUCCAAGCACCGUUACUCCGGCACCUCCGAGUUCUUAGCACACGUACAGCUCGAUGACGAUCCCCGGGCUCCGAUCCAGCAAAGCUUCGGGGAGGAGUUCCGUCAGCACGACGGCGUGGUGACGAUCUUGAUGUUCUGCCGACGCAGGGCUUCGCCUAAGCACUACAACGGUAUGACCGAGGUGGAAUAUGGUGGCAGGGGCACUGCACACGGCUAAGGGACGAUCUCAAGGAUCAACUUGUGUGUCUAUGGGGUGCCCCUUGCCUCAGUAUAUAAAGGAUGGAGGAGGAGGAGGCCGGCCAAGGCAUAAGGUGCGGCCAGGAUGGGAGUCCUACUAGGACUCCAAGUCCUAGUAGGAGUCCAUCAAGAGGGGAGGAAGGGAGAAGGAAGUGGAGGAGUAGGAAAGGUGGCCGGCCCCCUUUUCCCUAGUCCAAUUCGGACUAGAGGGGAGGGGGGGCGCAGCAGGCCUUUUCUCCUCUUCCCACUAAAGCCCAUCAAGGCCCAAUACUUCUCCCAGCGAAUUCCCGUCACUCUCCGGUACUCCGAAAAAUACCCGAAUCACUCGGAACCUUUCCGAAGUCCGAAUAUAGUCGUCCAAUAUAUCGAUCUUUACGUCUCGACCAUUUCGAGACUCCUCGUCAUGUCCCCGAUCUCAUCCGGGACUCUGAACUCCUUCGGUACAUCAAAACUCAUAAACUCAUAAUAUAACUGUCAUCGAAACCUUAAGCGUGCGGACCCUACGGUUCGAGAACAAUGUAGACAUGACCGAGACACGUCUCCGGUCAAUAACCAAUAGCGGGACCUGGAUGCCCAUAUUGGCUCCUACAUAUUCUACGAAGAUCUUUAUCGGUCAAACCGCAUAACAACAUACGUUGUUCCCUUUGUCAUCGGUAUGUUACUUGCCCGAGAUUCGAUCGUCGGUAUCCAAUACCUAGUUCAAUCUCGUUACCGGCAAGUCUCUUUACUCAUUCCGUAAUACAUUAUCUCGCAACUAACUCAUUAAUUGCAAUGCUUGCAAGGCUUAUGUGAUGUGCAUUACCGAGAGGGCCCAGAGAUACCUCUCCGACAAUCGAAGUGACAAAUCCUAAUCUCGAAAUACGCCAACCCAACAUCGACCUUUGGAGACACCUGUAAUGCUCCUUUAUAAUCACCCAGUUACGUUGUGACGUUUGGUAGCACCCAAAGUGUUCCUCCGGCAAACGGGAGUUGCAUAAUCUCAUAGUCAUAGGAACAUGUAUAAGUCAUGAAGAAAGCAAUAGCAACAUACUAAACGAUCGUGUGCUAAGCUAAUGGAAUGGGUAAUGUCAAUCAGUUCAUUCAACUAAUGAUGUGAUCUCGUUAAUCAAAUAACAACUCUUUUGUCCAUGGUUAGGAAACAUAAUCAUCUUUGAUUAACGAGCUAGUCAAGUAGAGGCAUACUAGUGACACUCUGUUUGUCUAUGUAUUCACACAUGUAUUAUGUUUCCGGUUAAUACAAUUCUAGCAUGAAUAAUAGACAUUUAUCAUGAUAUAAGGAAAUAAAUAAUAACUUUAUUAUUGCCUCUAGGGCAUAUUUCCUUCAGUCUCCCACUUGCACUAGAGUCAAUAAUCUAGAUCACAUCACCAUGUGAUUAACAUCGAUAGUUCACAUCAUCAUGUGAUUAACACCCAUAGUUCACAUCGUCAUGUGACCAACACUCAAAGGGUUUACUAGAGUCAGUAAUCUAGUUCACAUCUCUAUGUGAUUAACACCCAAAGAGUACUAAGGUGUGAUCAUGUUUUGCUUGUGAGAUAAUUUUAGUCAACGGGUCUGUCACAUUCAGAUUCGUAAGUAUUUUGCAAGUUCUAUGUCUACAAUGCUCUACAUGGAGCUACUCUAGCUAAUUGCUCCCACUUUCAAUAUGUAUCCAGAUUGAGACUUAGAAUCAUCUGGAUCAGUGUCAAAAACUUGCAUCGACGUAACCCUUUACGAUGAACCUUUUUGUCACGUCCAUAAUCGAGAAACAUAUCCUUAUUUCACUAAGGAUAAUUCUGACCGCUGUCUAGUGAUCUACUCCUAGAUCACUAUUGUACUCCCUUGCCAAAUCAGUGCAGGGUAUACAAUAGAUCUGGUAUACAGCAUGACAUACUUUAUAGAACCUAUGGCCAAGGCAUAGGGAAUGACUUUCAUUCUCUUUCUAUCUUCUGCCGUGGUCGGGCUUUGAGUCUUACUCAACUUCACACCUUAUAAUACAGGCAAGAACUCUUUCUUUGACUGCUCCAUUUUGAACUACUUCAAAAUCUUGUCAAGGUAUGUACUCAUUGAAAAUACUUAUCUAGCGUCUUGAUCUAUCUCUAUAGAUCUUGAAGCUCAAUAUGUAAGCAGCUUCACCGAAGUCUUUCUUUGAAAAACUCCUUUCAAACACUCCUUUAUGCUUUACAGAAUAAUUCUACAUUAUUUCCGAUCAACAAUAUGUCAUUCACAUAUACUUAUCAGAAAUGUUGUAGUGCUCCCACUCAGUUUCUUGUAAAUACAGGCUUCACCGCAAGUCUGUAUAAAACUAUAUGCUUUGAUCAACUCAUCAAGGCGUAUAUUCCAACUCCGAGAUGCUUGCACCAGUCCACAGAUGGAUCGCUGGAGCUUGCACAUUUUGUUAGCACCUUUCGGAUUGACAAAACCUUCUGUUGCAUCAUAUACAACUCUUCUUUAAUAAAUCCAUUAAGGAAUGCAGUUUUGUUUAUCCAUUUGCCAGAUUUCAUAAAAUGCGGCAAGUACUAACAUGAUUCGGACAGACUCAAGCAUAGAUACGAGUGAGAAGCUCUCGUCGUAGUCAACACCUUGAACUUGUCGAAAACCUUUUGCGACAAUUCUAGCUUUGUAGAUAGUAACACUACUAUCAACGUCCGUCUUCCUCUUGAAGAUCCAUUUAUUCUCAAUUGCUUGCCGUUCAUCGGGCAAGUCAACCAAAGUCCAAACUUUGUUCUCAUACAUGGAUCAUAUCUCAGAUUUCAUGGCCUCAAACCAUUUCGCGGAAUCUAGGCUCAUCAUCGCUUCCUCAUAGUUCGUAGGUUCGUCAUGGUCAAGUAACAUGACCUCCAGAACAGGAUUACCGUACCACUCUGGUGCGGAUCUCACUCUGGUUUACCUACAAGAUUCGGUAGUAAUUUGAUCUGAAGUUACAUGAUCAUCAUCAUUAGCUUCCUCACUAAUUGGUGUAGUAGUCACAAGAACAGAUUUUUGUGAUGAACUACUUUCCAAUAAGGUAGAAGGUACAAUUACCUUAUCAAGUUUUCUACUUUCCUCCCACUUAGUUCUUUCAAGAGAAACUCCUUCUCUAGAAAGGAUCCAUUAUAAGCAACGAAUGUCUUGCCUUAGGAUCUGUGAUAGAAGGUGUACCCAACAGUCUCCUUUGGGUAUCCUAUGAAGACAUAUUUCUCCGAUUUGGGUUUGAGCUUAUCAGGAUGAAUUUUUUUUCUCAUAAGCAUCGCAACCCCAAACUUCAAGAAACGACAACUUUGGUUUCUUGCCAAACCAUAGUUCAUAAGGCAUCGUCUCAACGGAUAUAGAUGGUGCCCCUUUUUUUUAACGUGAAUGCAACUGUCUCUAAUGCAUGACCCCAAAAAUGAUAGUGGUAAAUCGGUAAGAUACAUCAUAGAUUGCACUAUAUCCAAUAAAGUACGGUUAUGAUGUUCGGACACACCAUUAUGCUGUGGUGUUCCAGGUGGCGUGAGUAGUGAAACUAUUUCACAUUGUUUUAACUGAAGACCAAACUCGUAACUCAAAUACUCUUUUCCACGAUCAGAUCGUAGAAACUUUAUUUUCUUGUUACGAUGAUUUUCCACUUCACUCUGAAAUUAUAUGAACUUUUCAAAUGUAUCAGACUUCUAUUUCAUUAAGUAGAUAUACCCAUAUCUGCUCAACUCAUCUGUGAAGGUCAGAAAAUAAUGAUACCCGCUGCAAGCCUUAAAUAUUCAUAGGACCACAUACAUCAGUAUGUAUGAUUUCCAACAAAUCUGUUGCUUGCUCCAUUGUUCCGGAGAACGGCGUUUUAGUCAUCUUGCCCAAAAGGCAUGGUUCGCAAGCAUCAAGUGAUUCAUAAUCAAGUGAUUCCGAAAGCCCAUCAGCAUGGAGUUUCUUCAUGCGCUUUAUACCAAUAUGACCUAAACGGCAGUGCCACAAAUAAGUUGCACUAUCAUUAUUAACUUUGCAUCUUUUGGUUUCAAUAUUAUGAAUAUGUGUAUCACUACGAUUGAGAUCCAACGAACUUGUUUCAUUGGUGUAUGACCAUCGAAGGUUUUAUUCAUGUAAACAGAACAACAAUUAUUCUCUGACUUUAAUGAAUAACCGUAUUGCAAUAAACAUGAUCAAAUCAUAUUCAUGCUCAACGCAAAAACCAAAUAACACUUAUUUAAGUUCAACACUAAUCCCGAAAGUAUAGGGGAGUGUGCGAUGAUGAUCAUAUCAAUCUUGGAACUACUUCCAACACACAUCGUCACUUCACCCUUAACUAGUCUCUGUUUAUUCUGCAACUCCUAUUUCGAGUUACUACUCUUAGCAACUGAACCAAUAUCAAAUACUGAGGGGUUGCUAUAAACACUAGUAAAGCACACAUCAAUAACAUGUAUAUCAAAUAUACUUUUGUUCACUUUGCCAUCCUUCUUAUCCGCCAAAUACUUGGGGCAGUUCCGCUUCCAGUGACCAGUCCCUUUGCAGUAGAAGCACUUAGUCUCAGGCUUAGGACCAGACUUGGGCUUCUUCACUUGAGCAGCAACUUGCUUGCCGUUCUUUUUGAAGUUCCCUUCUUCCCUUUUGCACUUUUCUUCAAACUAGUGGUCUUGUCAACCAUCAACACUUGAUGUUUUUCUUGAUUUCUACCUUCAUCGAUUUCAGCAUCACGAAGAGCUUGGGAAUCGUUUCCGUUAUCCCUUGCAUAUCAUAGUUCAUCACGAAGUUCUACUAACUUGGUGAUGGUGACUAGAGAAUUCUGUCAAUCACUAUCUUAUCUGGAAGAUUAACUCCCACUUGAUUCAAGCGAUUGUAGUACCCAGACAAUCUGAGCACAUGCUCACUAGUUGAGCGAUUCUCCUUCAUCUUUUAGCUAUAGAACUUGUUGGAGACUUCAUAUCUCUCAACUCGGGUAUUUGCUUGAAAUAUUAACUUCAACUCCUGGAACAUCUCAUAUGGUCCAUGACGUUCAAAACGUCUUUGAAGUCCCGAUUCUAAGCCAUUAAGCAUGGUGCACUAAACUAUCAAGUAGUCAUCAUAUUGAGCUAGCCAAACGUUCAUAACGUCUGCAUCUGCUCCUGCAAUAGGUUUGUCACCUAGCGGUGCAUCAAGGACAUAAUUUUUCUGUGCAGCAAUGAGGAUAAACCUCAGAUCACGGAUCCAAUCCGUAUCAUUGCUACUAACAUCUUUCAACACAAUUUUCUCUAGGAACAUAUCAAAAUAAACAUAUGAAAGCAACAACGCGAGCUGUUGAUCUUCAACAUAGAUAUGCUAAUACUACCAGGACUAAGUUCAUGAUAAAUUAAAGUUCAAUUAAUCAUAUUACUUAAGAACUCCCACUUAGAUAGACAUCCCUCUAAUCCUCUAAGUGAUCACGUGAUCCAAAUCAACUAAACCAUAACCGAUCAUCACGUGAGAUGGAGUAUUUUUCAAUGGUGAACAUCGUUAUGUUGAUCAUAUCUACUAUAUGAUUCACGCUCGACCUUUCGGUCUCUGUGUUCCGAGGCCAUAUCUGCAUAUGCUAGGCUCGUCAAGUUUAACCUGAGUAUUCUGCGUGUGCAAAACUGGCUUGCACCCGUUGUAGAUGGACGUAGAGCUUAUCACACCCGAUCAUCACGUGGUGUCUGGGCACGACGAACUUUGGCAACGGUGCAUACUUAGGGAGAACACUUCAUGAUAAUUUAGUGAGCGAUCAUCUUAUAAUGCUACCGUCAAUCAAAGCAAGAUAAGAUGCAUAAAAGGAUAAACAUCACAUGCAAUCAAUAUAAGUGAUAUGAUAUGGCCAUCAUCAUCUUGUGCUUGUGAUCUCCAUCUCCGAAGCACCGUCAUGAUCACCAUCGUCACCGACGCGACACCUUGAUCUCCAUCGUAGCAUCGUUGUCGUCUCGCCAAUCUUAUGCUUCCACGACUAUCACUACCGCUUAGUAAUAAAGUAAAGCAUUACAUCGCGAUUGCAUUGCAUACAAUAAAGCGACAACCAUAUGGCUCCUGCCAGUUGCCGAUAACUUGGUUACAAAACAUGAUCAUCUCAUACAAUAAAAUCAGCAUCAUGCCUUGACCAUAUCACAUCACAACAUGCCCUGCAAAAACAAGUUAGACAUCCUCUACUUUGUUGUUGCAAGUUUUACGUGACUGCUACGGGCUUAAGUAAGAAGUCAUCUCACCUACGCAUCAAAACCACAACGAUAGUUCGUCAAAUAGACUCCGUUUUAACCUUCUCAAGGACCGGGCGUAGCCAUACUCGGUUCAACUAAAGUUGGAGAGACAGUCGCCCGCAAGCCAUCUAUGUGCUAAGCACGUCGAGGGAAUCGGUCUCGCGUAAGCGUACGCGUAAGGUUGGUCCGGGUCGUCUCGUCCAACAAUACCGCCGAACCAAAGUAUGACAUGCUGGUAGGCAGUAUGACUUGUAUCGCCCACAACUCACUUGUGUUCUACUCGUGCAAAUAACAUCAAACCAUAAAACCUAGGCUCGGAUGCCACUGUUGGGGAACGUAGUAAUUUCAAAACAUUUCUUACGCACACGCAAGAUCAUGGUGAUGCAUAGCAACGAGAGGGGAGAUUGUUGUCUACGUACCAACGCAGACCGACUGCGGAAGCGAUCACACAACAUAGAGGAAGUAGUCGUACGUCUUCUUUCCGAUCCGACCGAUCCAAGCACCGUUACUCCGGCACCUCCGAGUUCUUAGCACACGUACAGCUCGAUGACGAUCCCCGGGCAUCGAUCCAGCAAAGCUUUGGGGAGGAGUUCCGUCAGCACGACGGCGUGGUGACGAUCUUGAUGUUCUACCGACGCAGGGCUUCGCCUAAGCACUACAACGGUAUGACCGAGGUGGAAUAUGGUGGCAGGGGCAUCGCACACGGCUAAGGGACGAUCUCAAGGAUCAACUUGUGUGUCUAUGGGGUGCCCCUUGCCUCAGUAUAUAAAGGAUGGAGGAGGAGGAGGCCGGCCAAGGCAUAAGGUGCGGCCAGGAUGGGAGUCCUACUAGGACUCCAAGUCCUAGUAGGAGUCCAUCAAGAGGGGAGGAAGGGAGAAGGAAGUGGAGGAGUAGGAAAGGUGGCCGGCCCCUUUUCCCUAGUCCAAUUCGGACUAGAGGGGAGGGGGGCGCAGCAGGCCUUUUCUCCUCUUCCCACUAAAGCCCAUCAAGGCCCAAUACUUCUCCCAGCGAAUUCCCGUAACUCUCCGGUAGUCCGAAAAAUACCCGAAUCACUCGGAACCUUUCCGAAGUCCGAAUAUAGUCGUCCAAUAUAUCGAUCUUUACGUCUCGACCAUUUCGAGACUCCUCGUCAUGUCCCCGAUCUCAUCCGGGACUCCGAACUCCUUCGGUACAUCAAAACUCAUAAACUCAUAAUAUAACUGUCAUCGAAACCUUAAGCGUGCGGACCCUACGGUUCGAGAACAAUGUAGACAUGACCGAGACACGUCUCCGGUCAAUAACCAAUAGCGGGACCUGGAUGCCCAUAUUGGCUCCUACAUAUUCUACGAAGAUCUUUAUCGGUCAAACCGCAUAACAACAUACGUUGUUCCCUUUGUCAUAGGUAUGUUACUUGCCCGAGAUUCAAUCGUCGGUAUCCAAUACCUAGUUCAAUCUCGUUACCGGCAAGUCUCUUUACUCGUUCCGUAAUACAUCAUCUUGCAACUAACUCAUUAAUUGCAAUGCUUGCAAGGCUUAUGUGAUGUGCAUUACCGAGAGGGCCUAGAGAUACCUCUCCGACAAUCGGAGUGACAAAUCCUAAUCUCGAAAUACGCCAACCCAACAUCGACCUUUGGAGACACCUGUAAUGCUCCUUUAUAAUCACCCAGUUACGUUGUGACGUUUGGUAGCAGCCAAAGUGUUCCUCCGGCAAACGGGAGUUGCAUAAUCUCAUAGUCAUAGGAACAUGUAUAAGUCAUGAAGAAAGCAAUAGCAACAUACUAAACGAUCGUGUGCUAAGCUAAUGGAAUGGGUCAUGUCAAUCAGAUCAUUCAACUAAUGAUGUGAUCUCGUUAAUCAAAUAACAACUCUUUUGUCCAUGGUUAGGAAACAUAAUCAUCUUUGAUUAACGAGCUAGUCAAGUAGAGGCAUACUAGUGACACUCUGUUUGUCUAUGUAUUCACACAUGUAUUAUGUUUCCGGUUAAUACAAUUUUAGCAUGAAUAAUAAACAUUUAUCAUGAUAUAAGGAAAUAAAUAAUAACUUUAUUAUUGCCUCUAGGGCAUAUUUCCUUCAGUCAUCAUAUUGAGCUAGCCAAACGUUCAUAACGUCUACAUCUGCUCCUGCAAUAGGUCUGUCACCUAGCGGUGCAUCAAGGACAUAAUUCUUCUGUGCGGCAAUGAGGAUAAACCUCAGAUCACGGAUCCAAUCUGCAUCAUUGCUACUAACAUCUUUCAACACAAUUUCCUCUAGGAACAUAUCAAAACAAACACAGGGAAGUAACAACGCGAGCUAUCGAUCUACAACAUAAUUUGCAAAAUACUACCAGGACUAAGUUCAUGAUAAAUUUAAGUUCAAUUUAAUCAUAUUACUUUAAGAACUCCCACUUAGAUAGACAUCCCUCUAAUCCUCUAAGUGAUCACGUGAUCCAAAUUAACUAAACCAUAACCGAUCAUCACGUGAGAUGGAGUAGUUUUCAAUGGUGAACAUCGUUAUGUUGAUCAUAUCUACUAUAUGAUUCACGCUCGACCUUUCGGUCUCCGUGUUCCGAGGCCAUAUCUGUGAAGGAAAUAUGCCCUAGAGGCAAUAAUAAAGUUAUUAUUUAUUUCCUUAUAUCAUGAUAAAUGUUUAUUAUUCAUGCUAGAAUUGUAUUAACCGGAAACAUAAUACAUGUGUGAAUACAUAGACCAACAUAGUGUCACUAGUAUGCCUCUACUUGACUAGCUCGUUAAUCAAAGAUGGUUAUGUUUCCUAACCAUGAACAAAGAGUUGUUAUUUGAUUAACGAGGUCACAUCAUUAGUUGAAUGAUCUGAUUGACAUGACCCAUUCCAUUAGCUUAGCACCCGAUCGUUUAGUAUGUUGCUAUUGCUUUCUUCAUGACUUAUACAUGUUCCUAUAACUAUGAGAUUAUGCAACUCCCGUUUACCGGAGGAACACUUUGGGUACUACCAAACGUCACAACGUAACUGGGUGAUUAUAAAGGAGUACUACAGGUGUCUCCAAUGGUAGAUGUUGGGUUGGCGUAUUUCGAGAUUAGGGUUUGUCACUCCGAUUGUCGGAGAGGUAUCUCUGGGCCCUCUCGGUAAUGCACAUCACAUAAGCCUUGCAAGCACUGCAACUAAUAUGUUAGUUGUGAGAUGAUGUAUUACGGAACGAGUAAAGAGACUUGCCAGUAACGAGAUUGAACUAGGUAUUGGAUACCGACGAUCGAAUCUCGGGCAAGUAACAUACCGAUGACAAAGGGAACAACGUAUGUUGUUAUGCGGUCUGACCGAUAAAGAUCUUCGUAGAAUAUGUAGGAGCCAAUAUGGGCAUCCAGGUCCCGCUAUUGGUUAUUGACCGGAGACGUGUCUCGGUCAUGUCUACAUUGUUCUCGAACCGUAGGGUCCGCACGCUUAACGUUACGAUGACAGUUAUUAUGAGUUUAUGCAUUUUGAUGUACCGAAGGUUGUUCGGAGUCCCAGAUGAGAUCACAGACUUGACGAGGAGUCUCGAAAUGGUCGAGACGUAAAGAUUGAUAUAUUGGAAGCCUAUGUUUGGACAUAGGAAGUGUUCCGGGUGAAAUCGGGAUUUUACCGGAAUACCGGGAGGGUUACCGGAACCCCCCGGGAGACUAAUGGGCCUAUUGGGCCUUAGUGGAAAAAGAGAAAAGGGGCAACCCAUAGCUGGCCGGCGCCCCCCCUUUCCCCAAGUCCUAGUAGGACUAGGAUAAGGGGCCGGCCCCCCCUUCUCUCUCCUUUUCCCCGAGAGUCCUAAUUGGAAUAGGAUUGGAGGGGGGAGUCCUACUCCCGGUGGGAGUAGGACUCCCCCUGCGCCUCCCUCUCCCUGGCCGGCCGCCCCCCCUCCUCCAACCUUUAUAUACGGGGGCAGGGGACACCCCAAGACACACAAGUUGAUCCUUGAGAUCGUUCCUUAGCCGUGUGCGGUGCCCCCUGCCACCAAAUUCCACCUCGAUCAUACCGUUACAGUGCUUAGGCGAAGCCCUGCGUCGGUAGUACAUCAAGAUCGUCACCACGCCGUCGUGCUGACGGAACUCUUCCUCGACGCUUUGCUGGAUCGGAGCCCGAGGAACGUCAUCGAGCUGAACGUGUGCUAAGAACUCGGAGGUGCCGGAGUAACGGUGCUUGGAUCGGUCGGAUCGGAAAGAAGACGUACGACUACUUCCUCUACGUUGUGUGAUCACUUCCGCAGUCGGUCUGCGUUGGUACGUAGACAACACUCUCCCCUCUCGUUGCUGUGCAUCACCAUGAUCUUGUGUGUGCGUAGGAAAAUUUUCGAAAUUACUGCGUUCCCCAACAAUCUGCAUAUGCUAGGCUCGUCAAGUUUAACCUGAGUAUUCUGCGUGUGCAAAAACUGGCUUGCACCCGUUGUAGAUGGACGUAGAGCUUAUCACACUCUAUCAUCACGUGGUGUCUGGGCACGAUGAACUUUGGCAACGGUGCAUACUCAGGGAGAACACUUCUUGAUAAUUUAGUGAGAGAUCAUCUUAUAAUGCUACCGUCAAUCAAAGCAAGAUAAGAUGCAUAAAAAAGAUAAACAUCACAUGCAAUCAAUUCAAUAUAAGUGAUAUGAUAUGGCCAUCAUAUUCUUGUGCUUGUGAUCUCCAUCUCCGAAGCACCGUCAUGAUCACCAUCGUCACCGGCGCGACACCUUGAUCUCCAUCGUAGCAUCGUUGUCGUCUUGCCAAUCUUAUGCUUCCACGACUAUCGCUACCGCUUAGUGAUAAAGUAAAGCAUUACAUCGCGAUUGCAUUGCAUACAAUAAAACGACAACCAUAUGGCUCCUGCCAGUUGCCGAUAACUCGGUUACAAAACAUGAUCAUCUCAUACAAUAAAAUUUAGCAUCAUGUCUUGACCAUAUCACAUCACAACAUGCCCUGCAAAAACAAGUUAGACGUCCUCUACUUUGUUGUUGCAAGUUUUACGUGGCUGCUACGGGCUUAAGCAAGAACCAAUCUCAGCUACGCAUCAAAACCACAAUGAUAGUUUGUCAAAUAGACUCCGUUUUAACCUUCGCAAGGACCGGGCGUAGCCACACUUGGUUCAACUAAAGUUGGAGAAACAGUCACCCGCAAGCCACCUUUGUGCAAAGCACGUCGGGAGAACCGGUCUCGCGUAAGCGUACGCGUAAUGUCGGUCCGGGCCGCUUCAUCCAACAAUACCGCCGAACCAAAGUAUGACAUGCUGGUAGGCAGUAUGACUUAUAUCGCCCACAACUCACUUGUGUUCUACUCGUGCAUAUAACAUCAAACCAUAAAACCUAGGCUCUGAUACCACUGUUGGGGAACGUAGUAAUUUCAAAAAAUUUCCUACGCACACGCAAGAUCAUGGUGAUGCAUAGCAACGAGGGGGAGAGUCUGAUCUACGUACCCUUGUAGAUCGCAACGGAAGCGUUGACACAACGUAGAGGAAGUAGUCGUACGACUUCUUCCCGAUCCGACCGAUCCAAGCACCAUUACUCCGGCACCUCCAAGUUCUUAGCACACGUACAGCUCGAUGACGAUCCCCGGGCUCCGAUCCAGCAAAGCUCCGGGGAGGAGUUCCGUCAGCACGACGGCGUGGUGACGAUCUUAAUGUACUACCGACGCAGGGCUGCGCCUAAGCACUACAACGGUAUUAUCGAGGUGGAAUAUGGUGGCAGGGGGCACCGCACACGGUUAGGAACGAUCUCAAUGAUCAACUUGUGUGUCUAUGGGGUGCCCCCUGCCCCCGUAUAUAAAGGAGCAAGGGAGGAGGGGCGGCCGGCCUAGGAGUGGGCGCGCCAAGGGGAGUCCUACUCCCACCGGGAGUAGGACUCCUUCUUUCCUUGUCCAACUAGGAGAAGGGGGGAAUGGAGGGAAGUGGAGAAGGAAGGGAGAGGUGGGCCGCGCCCCAAAUCCCUUGUCCAAUUCAGACUAGGCUUGGGAGGGGCGCGCGCCACCUCCUGGCUCCUUCCCACUAAAGCCCAUUAAGGCCCAAUACUCUUCCCCGUAUUCCCGUAACUCCCCGGUACCUCCGAAAAUACCCGAAUCACUCGGAACCUUUCCGAUGUCUGAAUUGUAACACCCUCGAUGCGACUAUAUCUCCCACGUGUCGAGGCACGACUUAGAGGCAUAAUCGCAUUGAAGGCAAUGUCGCAAGUGAGGUAAUCUUCACACAACCCAUGUAAUACAAUAGGGGAAAAAGUUACAUAGUUGGCUUACAAUCGCCACUUCACACAAUUACAUGAAUAAAGCAUUACAUCAUUCAAAUACACUCAAGGUCCGACUACGGAACCAAAAUAAAAGAAGAACCCCAAAUGCGACAAAGGUCCCCGAUCGACCCCAACUGGGCACCACUACUGAUCAACUAGAACGAAACAACAUAAAGGACAAGAUCUUCAACGAGCUCCUCCUGAGCUUGGUUGCGUCAUCUGCACGGACUCAUCG
rnacentral:lncRNA from 1 species